CGUCAGCGCCUGAGCUACACUUCCCUCAACAACACACACUCUUCACACAGCUCACGGUACAUCACGCAGGAGGGCGAUUUACUCUAUCACUCUUCUUUACUCUCUUCAUCCUCUUCCUCUCUCCUUAAAGUGAAUUAUUUUUGAUGCUCUAGUCAUGGAUACUGAGUGCCGUCUGAAACUCUUUUAGUUCAGUGAGAGGAAAGAAAUUUGGAUUUAAGUUUAAACGAUGUGUCAGUGCUGUGGAGGAAAAAAAUACUUUUUUCUGCCUUGUUAAUGGAAACAGGGUGGAGUAAAACAAAAGAGAUUGUUCUCUUUCAUCCUUUCCACUCCUUCACUCGCUUUUAAUUAUCCUUAACUCAGCUUUAUUUCACAACAAAGAAGAAGAAGAAGAAGUAGUAGUGAUGGUAAGAAGGAUGUGCUAAAGAAACUGGUGACAGCUCAACACAGGCACAAGUGAAAUGAAACAGAGCAUAUAUUACUGAUCUACAUUGGGAGGCUACCAAACAAAGGGAUUCUGAACCUGAAAAACCUCUUUCACACUGGAAAGUCUUCACAGAUCCAGAAUGAGUGGAGUUAACUUGUGUGUUAGUUGCCUGGGAUGCCUUCUAAAGCCAAGAAGGCAAUCCCACCCAGCAUGCACAAUGCUAUGUUCCUCCUGAUGCUGUGCAAGACUGGUCUACGAAGGCAACUGCAGACUACUUCAGAGAAAAUGGUAAACACUUCUCAUGGUGAUGAA